ensembl:lncRNA
AUUCAUUACCCUUUUCUAUUCCCCGUGCAGACAAAUCAAUCCUCCGUGUGCACCUUCACACAAAGCAGGCCCUAUUGACUUUCAUGACUGAAUCUUUCAUCUUUCCCCUGUUUGUUUGUUUGCCCGUCUGUGAGCAAGGUCUUUAUAUUGUGUAACAGAAAUACCUUGUGGAAUAGAGGUGAAACUUACAUGGGCUUUUGAAUCAGGGGCAUUUCACACAAACACUCCAUUAUCUUAUUUUUUAAAGGUGACGUUAGCAUUACUGAUUAUCUUAUUUAUUUAUUUAAAGGUGACGUUAGCAUUACUGAUUAUCUUAUUUAUUUAUUUAAAGGUGACGGUAGCAUUACUGAUUAUCUUAUUUAUUUAUUUAAAGGUGACGUUAGCAUUACUGAUUAUCUUUUUUUUUUUUUAAAGGUGACGUUAGCAUUACUGAUUAUCUUAUUUUUUUUUAAAGGUGACUGUAGCAUUACUGAUUAUCUUUUUUUUUUUUUUAAGGUGACGUUAGCAUUACUGAUUAUCUUUUUUUUUUUUUUUAAAGGUGACGUUAGCAUUACUGAUUAUCUUAUUUAUUUAUUUAAAGGUGACGUUAGCAUUACUGAUUAUCUUAUUUAUUUAUUUAUUUAAAGGUGACGUUAGCAUUACUGAUUAUCUUAUUUAUUUAUUUAUUUAAAGGUGACGUUAGCAUUACUGAUUAUCUUAUUUAUUUAAAGGUGACGUUAGCAUUACUGAUUAUCUUAUUUAUUUAUUAUUUUAAAGGUGACGUUAGCAUUACUGAUUAUCUUAUUUAUUUAUUAUUUUAAAGGUGACGUUAGCAUUACUGAUUAUCUUAUUUUUUUUAAAGGUGACGUUAGCAUUACUGAUUAUCUUAUUUAUUUAUUUAAAGGUGACGUUAGCAUCACUGACGUCACCGUUGCUCCCGGGCCGAUAGUCUGAAAACAUUGUGCCGUCUGACGUUAAGACUAUAUAUUGACAAGCCCUGUAAUCCAUUUGGAAAUAUAAUGAAAUUGAACCCACACAUGUACUGACAUGCUGAUUAACUUCUUGUCUGGUCACAGUAUUCAUUGAAUGAGGCAUAUCUACACUGAACGAGGCAUAUAUCUACACUGAACGAGGCAUAUAUCUGCACUGUGAAUGAGGCAUAUAUCUACACUGAACGAGGCAUAUAUCUGCACUGUGAAUGAGGCAUAUAUCUACACUGUGAACGAGGCAUAUAUCUACACUGAACGAG